AUUGAACGCUGGCGGCAUGCCUUACACAUGCAAGUCGAACGGUAACAGGUCUUCGGAUGCUGACGAGUGGUGUACGGGUGAGUAAUACAUCGGAACGUGCCUAGUAGUGGGGAUAACUACUCGAAAGAGUGGCUAAUACCGCAUGAGAUCUACGGAUGAAAGCAGGGGAUCGCAAGACCUUGUGCUACUAGAGCGGCCGAUGGCAGAUUAGGUAGUUGGUGGGAUAAAAGCUUACCAAGCCGACGAUCUGUAGCUGGUCUGCGAGGACGAUCAGCCAUACUGGGGCUGAGACACGGCGCAGACUCCCACGGGGGGCAGCAGUGGGGAAUUUUGGACAAUGGGCGCAAGCCUGAUCCAGCAAUGCCGCGUGCAGGAUGAAGGCCUUCGGGUUGUAAACGGCUUUUGUACGGAACGAAAAGCCCUGGGUUAAUACCCUGAGGUCAUGACGGUACCGUAAGAAUAAGCACCGGCUAACUACGUGCCAGCCGCCGCAGUAAAAC
rnacentral:rRNA from 1 species